rnacentral:ncRNA from 1 species
CUGGGCACAAAGGAAUCUAGGUGGUGAAUCAGGUUAAAAGUGAAAGUCAUCAAAAAGUAUUGGAAUGCUCUCGAAACCAAAUUAUAUUCAGCAAGACAAACGAGAGAUGGAAAUUUGUGUGUAGGGUGAAAUAUGGAGAUCUACAAAGGAACACCAAAAGCAAAGGCAACUCUCUGUCUCCCAACCAACACUGGGGGGCAUAAGCAUGCGGAGCAAACAGGAAUAGAUACCUAAUGACCCAUGCCGUAAAUGACAAUUUUUUAUAGUUGAUCUAUGCGAAUCAGGGCCCAGCUAACAUGUAAUUAAGCAGCUACUCCUCC